ACAUAAAUACAUAGCAUUUUCAUAUUAGAAAUUUGACAUCUUACAACCGAUAAAUUAAGGAAUACAGAAAAAAUUUGGCGGAGAAGGAACUGUUUUCAUUAUUUUUUUCAUCUCAAGCAAAUGAUCAUAAGAGACAAUUAUUCAAUCCAAAUGAUCAUGAAGAUCCUUUCCAAAGCAAUCCAAAUGAACAUAUAUUCAUUCUGAAAAAAAGUAAUGUUUCUUAAUACAUGAACUAAUCUCUACCGAC
rnacentral:lncRNA from 1 species